ACGGAAGGCAGCAGUGGGGGAUAUUGCGCAAUGGGGGGAACCCUGACGCAGCAACGCCGCGUGAAGGAAGAAGGUCUUCGGAUUGUAAACUUCUUUUAUGAGGGACGAAGGAAGUGACGGUACCUCAUGAAUAAGCCACGGCUAACUACGUGCCAGCAGCCGCGGUAAUACGUAGGUGGCAAGCGUUAUCCGGAUUUACUGGGUGUAAAGGGCGCGUAGGCGGGGAUGCAAGUCAGAUGUGAAAUCCAUGGGCUCAACUCAUGAACUGCAUUUGAAACUGUAUCUCUUGAGUGCUGGAGAGGUAGAUGGAAUUCCUUGUGUAGCGGUGAAAUGCGUAGAUAUAAGGAAGAACACCAGUGGCGAAGGCGAUCUACUGGACAGUAACUGACGCUGAGGCGCGAAAGCGUGGGGAGCAAACAGGAUUAGAUACCCUGGUA
rnacentral:rRNA from 1 species